rfam:Blautia sp. CAG:52 genomic scaffold, scf340
UUAUACCUAAGUAUCACGCCGAAGACAGCAGGUGCCGUAAGGCAUAAGACUAAAACGCCUGCCGAGGAAGUACAUUCUUAGUAAAGAAUCGAGGUCCUCUUUGUCGUGCACAAAGAGGUUUUUUUAUACCUUG